GAUGAACGCUGGCGGCGUGCCUAAUACAUGCAAGUCGAGCGAACAGAUGAGGAGCUUGCUCCUCUGACGUUAGCGGCGGACGGGUGAGUAACACGUGGAUAACCUACCUAUAAGACUGGGAUAACUACGGGAAACCGGAGCUAAUACCGGAUAAUAUAUUGAACCGCAUGGUUCAAUAGUGAAAGACGGUUUUGCUGUCACUUAUAGAUGGAUCCGCGCCGCAUUAGCUAGUUGGUAAGGUAACGGCUUACCAAGGCAACGAUGCGUAGCCGACCUGAGAGGGUGAUCGGCCACACUGGAACGGAGACACGGUCCAGACUCCUACGGGAGGCAGCAGUAGGGAAUCUUCCGCAAUGGGCGAAAGCCUGACGGAGCAACGCCGCGUGAGUGAUAAAGGUCUUCGGAUCGUAAAACUCUGUUAUUAGGGAAGAACAAAUGUGUAAGUAACUAUGCACGUCUUGACGGUACCUAAUCAGAAAGCCACGGCUAACUACGUG
rnacentral:rRNA from 1 species